rfam:Fistulina hepatica ATCC 64428 unplaced genomic scaffold FISHEscaffold_67, whole genome shotgun sequence.
GGCGAGAUGGCCGAGCGGUCUAAGGCGCCAGACUAAGGAGACCAGCUCGUUUGACGAGUCUUCUAUCUGGUCUUUCGGGGCGUGGGUUCGAAUCCCACUCUCGUCA